CGGCUGAAAUCCUCUUCAUUCGAGGUUGUAGGCAGUGUGUUUUCAGGCCCAAUUUACGGUGGAGUAUUCAACAUAAACAUCGAAUCUGGACAAGUGGGAAUUCCAGGCCGAGACGAGCCAAUGUCCUCCGCCAAGCGUCGCCGUAUUAUCUACAGUGACUCGUCCUCCGAUGAAGAAUAGCGUGUAAGCAAUGACAACGACACUAACCACAACUAUUUGAGACAUACAGUAUCCUGUUAUUCACAUUUGGCUUCUUCAGUUGUGUGUGUUGCUCCUAAUGCGUAACUUUUAUCUGCUUGUUUGUGAACAGUUUUCAACACGACUAUACCGACAGUGAUGGCCGACUGACGUUCAGGCGAUAUUUAGGUCACGUAGUUAAAUUAAAAAGGUUUACAGUUUACAAGUGUUUUGAUGAAUUACAUUAUUGUAUUUGAAAGCAAAUCCUCUAAUGAAAAGAAUUAAAUUUUGAUUACGACUUGAUUCCGUCAUAAUUUAUUUAUUAUCUAGACUAGUUAAAGGAACUACAUUGCCUCUACGCAGCAUACGUUUCCCUGGAGUGAAACGGUCGACAUUCCAAUCACCAAUAUGAUCUAUUAAUCCGCGCAGUGCGGUUCUAUAUAGGAAAGCAAGAUAUUGCUUUAUUUUAACAAUAUUUUCAUUUUUAGAACGUGGGUAAUAAAUAGGAUACAAAACUCGUUCCCCUUUCAUAUCAAGUUUAUGUCCCUCGUGAAAAAAUUUUGCUGUGUCACUCGCUAAAGCUCGUGACAAAGCAAAAUUAUUUCACUCGGGACAUAAACUUGAUAUGAAAGAGGAAGCUCGUUUGAUAUCCUAUAAUUAUACAAUCGCAAAAAUUAUUUGAAGCUACAUGCAAAA